rnacentral:rRNA from 1 species
UGACGAGUAGCUACUUCGGUAGCGAGAGUGGCGGACGGGUGAGUAACGCGUAGGAAUCUGCCUAUUAGUGGGGGACAACGUGGGGAAACUCACGCUAAUACCGCAUACGCCCUACGGGGGAAAGGAGGGGACCUUCGGGCCUUUCGCUAAUAGAUGAGCCUGCGUAGGAUUAGCUAGUUGGUAGGGUAAAGGCCUACCAAGGCGACGAUCCUUAGCUGGUCUGAGAGGACGAUCAGCCACACCGGGACUGAGACACGGCCCAGACUCCUACGGGAGGCAGCAGUGGGGAAUAUUGGACAAUGGGCGCAAGCCUGAUCCAGCAAUACCGCGUGUGUGAAGAAGGCCUGAGGGUUGUAAAGCACUUUCACUGGGGAGGAAAAAGAGUAGGCUAAUAUCCUGCUUAUUGACAUUACCUAGAGAAGAAGCACCGGCUAACUCCGUGCCAGCAGCCGCGGUAAUACGGAGGGUGCGAGCGUUAAUCGGAAUUACUGGGCGUAAAGCGUGCGUAGGCGGCUCGUUAAGUCAGAUGUGAAAGCCCUGGGCUUAACCUGGGAACGGCAUUUGAAACUGGCGAGCUAGAGUUGAGUAGAGGUAAGUGGAAUUUCAGGUGUAGCGGUGAAAUGCGUAGAUAUCUGAAGGAACACCAGUGGCGAAGGCGACUUACUGGACUCAAACUGACGCUGAGGUACGAAAGCGUGGGUAGCAAACAGGAUUAGAUACCCUGGUAGUCCACGC